UUUGAUUGGUUUUUGGAAGUUAGAUAUUGGAUUCUUUCAUUUGACUCUUUAAUUGCCAAGUUAAUGCUCCCCUUAAUUCUUGCCUUCAAUUUAUAUUCUCUUGCCUCUUACAACUCCCAAACCCAUUAUAUUUGCUGCCCUCAUUAAGAAAACAAUCAUCAAUUUCUUUUCCCAUUGACCAUGGGAAUCAAUCCUCAAAAGUUUUUGCACUCUUCCUUCUUUCACCUCCAUAUUACAUCUCCUUAUUUCUCAAUUCUUGUGAGAUUUGUUGCUGGGUUUCAUUGUUGCAAGGAUCAUCAUAUUUUCCCUCUCAAUUUGGCUGUGAAAAUAAGUUUUCAAGUUCAUCAAGAGGACUAGUUUGUAUUGAGUUCUUCUGGUUUCUUGGGUUUUAUCGGAAGUGUAUCGAGGUGAAGAAUAGUUCCUUUUGAGUCUGGGCUGAGAGCAGUGUGUUUACUUUAUUUCUUAGCAGUUUUAUAGACUU